rnacentral:rRNA from 1 species
CCUACGGGAGGCAGCAGUGAGGAAUAUUGGUCAAUGGCCGUAAGGCUGAACCAGCCAAGUAGCGUGAGGGAAGACUGCUCUAUGGGUUGUAAACCUCUUUUAUGCGGGGAUAAAGGUGUCCACGUGUGGAUGUUUGCAGGUACCGCAUGAAUAAGGACCGGCUAAUUCCGUGCCAGCAGCCGCGGUAAUACGGAGGGUCCGGGCGUUAUCCGGAUUUAGUGGGUUUAAAGGGUGCGUAGUGCGGUCUUUAAGCGUGCCGUGAAAUUUUGUGGCUCAACCAUGAGAGUGCGGCGCAAACUGGAGACCUUGAGUGCGCGGGAGGCAGGCGGAAUUCGUGGUGUAGCGGUGAAAUGCUUAGAUAUCACGAAGAACCCCGAUUGCGAAGGCAGCUUGCCGCAGCGUUACUGACGCUGAGGCUCGAAAGCGCGGGGAUCGAACAGGAUUAGAUACCCGGGUAGUC